rnacentral:tRNA from 1 species
GGCCCGGUGGUCAAGCGGUCAAGACAUCGCCCUUUCACGGCGGUAACACGAGUUCAAUUCUCGUCCGGGUCA